rnacentral:rRNA from 1 species
AGUGAACGCUGGCGGUAGGCCUAACACAUGCAAGUCGAAUGGCAGCACAGUAAGAGCUUGCUCUUACGGGUGGCGAGUGGCGGACGGGUGAGGAAUACAUCGGAAUCUACUUUUUCGUGGGGGAUAGCGUAGGGAAACUUACGCUAAUACCGCAUACGACCUACGGGUGAAAGCAGGGGAUCUUCGGACCUUGCGCGAUUGAAUGAGCCGAUGUCGGAUUAGCUAGUUGGCGGGGUAAAGGCCCACCAAGGCGACGAUCCGUAGCUGGUCUGAGAGGAUGAUCAGCCACACUGGAACUGGGACACGGUCCAGACUCCUACGGGAGGCAGCAGUGGGGAAUAUUGGACAAUGGGCGCAAGCCUGAUCCAGCCAUACCGCGUGGGUGAAGAAGGCCUUCGGGUUGUAAAGCCCUUUUGUUGGGAAAGAAAAGCAGCAGGUUAAUACCCCGCUGUUCUGACGGUACCCAAAGAAUAAGCACCGGCUAACUUCGUG